rnacentral:lncRNA from 1 species
GGGUAUUGGAUACCGGAAGUCCAAUUAACAUUUGCAAUUCGUUGCAGGGACUUCAAGUUAGUAGAAGAUUCAAGAAUGACGAGAGAUUCCUGAACGUUGGAGAUGGAAGAUCAGUUCCAGUCCUAGCUUUAGGAGUCAUUGAGCUUGUUUUUGAAUCUAGAGUAGUCAUAUUAGAUGAUUGUCAUUAUUGUCCAACAUUUUUAAUGAAUGUCAUCUCUGUAGGCCUUUUGGCCAAAAAUGGUUAUUGNN